rnacentral:rRNA from 1 species
GUCGAGCGGUAACAGGGGGAGCUUGCUCCCCGCUGACGAGCGGCGGACGGGUGAGUAAUGCAUAGGAAACUGCCCAGUAGUGGGGGAUAGCCCGGGGAAACCCGGAUUAAUACCGCAUACGCCCUUUGGGGGAAAGCAGGGGAUCUUCGGACCUUGCGCUAUUGGAUGUGCCUAUGUCGGAUUAGCUAGUUGGUGGGGUAAGAGCCUACCAAGGCGACGAUCCGUAGCUGGUCUGAGAGGAUGAUCAGCCACAUCGGGACUGAGACACGGCCCGAACUCCUACGGGAGGCAGCAGUGGGGAAUAUUGGACAAUGGGGGCAACCCUGAUCCAGCCAUGCCGCGUGUGUGAAGAAGGCUUUCGGGUUGUAAAGCACUUUCAGUGAGGAGGAAAACCUUACGACUAAUACUCGUGAGGCUUGACGUUACUCACAGAAGAAGCACCGGCUAACUCCGUGCCAGCAGCCGCGGUAAUACGGAGGGUGCAAGCGUUAAUCGGAAUUACUGGGCGUAAAGCGCGCGUAGGUGGUUUGAUAAGCGAGAUGUGAAAGCCCCGGGCUCAACCUGGGAACGGCAUUUCGAACUGUCAGGCUAGAGUAUGGUAGAGGAGUGUGGAAUUUUCCUGUGUAGCGGUGAAAUGCGUA